CAUUGCUGCUGCUACCUGCUUUCCAGAGCCUUUCAUCAAUGAAGGAAAGCGGCUGGGCUAUAUCCAUCGAAAUUUUGCUGGAAACAGAUUUUCUGAUCACGUAGCCCUUUUAUCAGUAUUCCAAGCCUGGGAUGAUGCUAGAAUGGGUGGAGAAGAAGCAGAGAUACGUUUUUGUGAGCACAAAAGACUGAAUAUGGCUACACUAAGAAUGACCUGGGAAGCCAAAGUUCAGCUCAAAGAGAUUUUGAUUAAUUCUGGGUUUCCAGAAGAUUGUUUGUUGACACAAGUGUUUACUAACACUGGACCAGAUAAUAAUUUGGAUGUUGUUAUCUCCCUCCUGGCCUUUGUAGCCAAGACAUGAAGUACCCAUCUCCCUUCUUUGUAUUUGGUGAAAAGAUUCGAACUCGAGCCAUCUCUGCUAAAGGCAUGACUUUAGUCACCCCCCUGCAGUUGCUUCUCUUUGCCUCCAAGAAAGUCCAAUCUGAUGGGCAGAUUGUGCUUGUAGAUGACUGGAUUAAACUGCAAAUAUCUCAUGAAGCUGCUGCCUGUAUCACUGGUCUCCGGGCAGCCAUGGAGGCUCUGGUUGUUGAAGUAACCAAACAACCUGCUAUCAUCAGCCAGUUGGACCCCGUAAAUGAACGUAUGCUGAACAUGAUCCGUCAGAUCUCUAGACCCUCAGCUGCUGGUAUCAACCUUAUGAUUGGCAGUACACGGUAUGGAGAUGGUCCACGUCCUCCCAAGAUGGCCCGAUAUGACAAUGGAAGUGGAUAUAGAAGGGGAGGUUCUAGUUACAGUGGUGGAGGCUAUGGCAGUGGCUAUAGCAGUGGAGGCUAUGGUAGCGGAGGCUAUGGUGGCAGUGCCAACUCCUUUCGGGCAGGAUAUGGUGGUGUUGGUGGAGGCUAUAGAGGAGUUUCCCGAGGUGGCUUUAGAGGCAACUCUGGAGGAGACUACAGAGGGCCUAGUGGAGGCUACAGAGGAUCUGGGGGAUUCCAGCGAGGAGGUGGUAGGGGGGCCUAUGGAACUGGCUACUUUGGACAGGGAAGAGGAGGUGGCGGCUAUUAAAACUUGGUUAUGUCAGUUCCUGUGUGUAGACAGUAAGGAAAAAAAGGCAUGCUAUGUGUUACGUGUUUCUUCCAGUAUGUUUAUUUGCCACCAAAAAGUAAAUGCAUUUUCACCCAUUCUGUGGUUCAUUGUAGUUUAAGGAAACCAAGCAUAUAGAUGCAUUAGUGAUUUUGUUUAUAUUAUGUAAAAUAUAACGAUCUCUUAAAAAUACCACAGUUUGUAUUUUUUCUUUAAGGAGUAAAGAUUUGCCUUUAAAUAACUUGGUAUUUUCCUGGCUUUCGUUUAAUACAAUAGAAAAUAAAGUAUUACACCG
rnacentral:sRNA from 1 species